UCAGAGACUUAAGCGGAUUCUCAAAUUUAGGGUUGCUUAUCAAUGAAAUACACUAUCAAAUCUCUCUCUAUUUCUAUCGCUUCUUCUCUUCUCAAUCUUUCACUUCUAAACAAUGUUAUGUUCUUUGUUGGGGAUUUGAACCUAGCAGCUUCUUCGUUUGUGUCUUUGGAGUUAUUUAAUCCAUCAUCUGUUGUUUUAGCGGUGAUUAGCAGGGAUAUAGAGUUCCUGAUUUGAGAUCUCGAUUAGCAGCAGCUCAAGACAUCUCCUUAGCUCAUGUUUAAGGAUGAUGGCGCUCCAAUUUAUUGAUCCCCUUUGGGUCGAUCUGAGUUUAUCUCACUUGAUUCGUGUUCCCAGAUCUAGCCUCUUAAGGACAGAGAUCGGUUUUCUCUGUUGUUGAUGUUCGAUUCGUCCUGCGGAGUUGCAAUCUUAUUGGUUCAAGUCAAGGAGAUUCUCGAUCUCAAGCUUGUUCGUCAAUCCUCUUGUUAGCGCCCUCUUCCGUUUUGAAAAGGGAAUGUAAAGGAUUUGGCCAUCACCAACAUCAGAGGAGGGAUGUUUGAUUGGUGAUUGGGUUUAAAUGGGAGUUUUGAAUCGCAUGUGUUGGUUGGUAUGGAGACGAGUAUGUAUUGAAUGCGUCUUUUACUUCAAAUUUUCCAAUUUAUAUCGUAUUUUGAAGAAUUGGGAUUGGGAAUGUUUUGCGAAUCAGGAGUUAUGUUAUAAAUUUUGGGUAUAGUUGCUUAAAUGGAGUUUUAUUUUGUGAAUUCAGAGAUCGUGACUGGGAAAAUAUGUUCAGUUUUCUGAUAUAUUCAAGAGAAGUGUUUACAAUGCUUUAAAUAGAUUACAAAAGAAUCUUUAAGAGGAUCCGAUAAAAUCAAAUCUACAACUAUAAAAAACUUGUGGAACAACCUUAACAACUUCUUGUUCCAAACUGCCUGCAUAUCUCGCUAAUACCCUCCCUCAAGUUGGAGCAUGGAGGUCUGUAAUGCCCAACUUGAAACAAAAACGAUAAAACUCUUGUCUUCCCAAUGGUUUAGUAAAAAUAUCAGCAAGCUGAGACUCACUCUUGACAUGUAGGAGACAAAUGUUUUUAGUUAUCACCUCUUCUCGGACAAAGUGGCAAUCGACCUCCACAUGUUUUGUGCGCUCAUGAAACACUGGGUUUGUUGCGAUAUGAAUGGCGGCUUUGCUAUCGCAGCGAACAUUCAUCGGUUGAUUGUGUUUGACUCCGAGCGCUGAAAGAAUUGUUUUUAACCAAAUCAAUUCUUGAGUCAAAUAUGCCAAUGCUCGGUAUUCUGCUUCUUCCGAGGAUCUACUCACUGUCUUUUGCUUUUUCGUCUUCCAUGAGAUAGGUGACCCUCCCAGCUAUAUGAAGUAUCCAGUUACGGAUUUUCUUGAUAGCCUGCAGCUUGCGUAGUCACUAUCACACCAUCCGGACAAUUGAAAAGGUGUGUCUGCUCGUAACAAUAUCCCCUGACCAGGAUUGUUUUUCAAAUAUCGAACCACCCGCAAGGCUGCUCCCCAAUGAUCUUCUCUCGGCUUUUGCAUAAACAGAGCAAGAAAGUGAAAAGAGAACGCUAAAUCGGGUCGAGUCACAGCCAAGUAUAUCAAUCUACCCACCAAUCUUCUAUAAGGUUCAGGGUUGUUUAAAAACGCGGACUUCGACAAUGACAAGUCAUUGUUUGUUUCCAAAGGAAACGCUACAGGUUUCGCACCAAGUAGUCCAACAUCUGAGAUAAUGUCCAAUGCGUACUUUCUUUAACAAAGAUACAUACCGGUAGAGUUUCUUGCUACUUCAAUUCCCAGGAAGUAUUUUAAUUGGCCUAAGUCCUUCAUGUGAAAGCACGACAACAAGUAAUCUUUAAAAUCAUUCAUGACCUUAAGUGAGAUCGUCGACAUACACUAAAACGUGAAGUGACUCUCCAUUUGCAUCCUUGGUGAACAAUGAAUAAUCAGAGAGAUUUUGCUCAAAUUCAAAUUUUUUAACGCCGUAGACAAUUUGGCAAACCAGGACCUCGGACUCUGCUUCAAUCCAUAAAUAGACUUUCGAAGUCUGCAUACCUUGUUCGGAUCGGUUGCUUUAAACCCUGAUGGUAGCUUCAUAUAAAUUUCUUCUUCAAGGUCGCCGUGAAGAAACACAUUGUAGACGUCCUUCUGGUGAACAUCCCACUUGUUCUUAACUGCCGUAUCUAAGAACAAUCUCACGGUUCCCAUUUUAGCUACCGGCGCAAAAGUUUAUCCAUAGUCUACUCCUUCAACUUGUUUGUUUCCAAGAGCAACCAGUUUGGCUUUAUGUCUCUCCAAGGUGCCAUCAGACUUGUAUUUGAUCUUGUAAACCCAUUUACAUCCUAUUGCCUUUUUCCCUUUAGGCAAAUCCUCUAUGGUCAACGAAUGAUUUCUUUCCUGAGAAUCAAUUUAUGAACCCAUUGCCCCUUUCAAUCUAUCGUCUUCCAUUGCCUUUUUAAACGAUUUUGCCUCUACGCCCUGAGUAAUUGCAACCAUGUAUGCUUUAUGUGACUCAGAGAAACGCUCACAGUCAACGUAAUUGGCAAUCAGAUACUCAGAUGUGGACUUGUUCUUCUUUGUUUUUGGAUUUCCAGUCUCAAUCACGAAUUCCUUCAAUUUUACUGAAUGUGUUCUCUGCCUCUUUCCUCGACCCAAUUGUUCAGUAGGAAACGAUUUCUUUGUUUGUACUUGCGGUGAUGUUAAUGGUGGAGGUCGUGACGUCGUCGAUCGUGGAAUCUCUGAGGAAGAAGAUGAUGGCAAGUUACGAAGAGGAACGUGACG
rnacentral:lncRNA from 1 species